GAACUUGUUACUCAAGCUAUUGAAACUUACAAGCAACAAUUAUCUGGUACAACAACAGAAUACAACCUUAAUGCACAAUCUACUGAAUGUUCUGAUGAUGAACAUACAUCUAGUGAUGUUCCUAUUUUGGAAGAAUUUAUUCCAUUAAAAUCCACAUUUUCUCAUGAAGAUGAAGAUGAAGAUGAGAAUGAUGAAGAAAAUCAAUCUCAUAAAUCAAAAUCUUUUAAUAAUAACAAUAAUAAUUCUACUAGUUCUA
rnacentral:misc_RNA from 1 species